GGACUAACAGAUUGGUCGCGCCUUUGGUGUGUACUGGUCUAGUUGGUUUCUCCCUUCUGAUGAACCACGAUGUCAUUAAUUUGGUGUCGCGGGGAAUCAGGACUGUUACUUUGAAAAAAUUAGAGUGUUUAAAGCAGGCCUACGCUUGAAUACAUUAGCAUGGAAUAAUAGAAUAGGACU
rnacentral:rRNA from 1 species